rnacentral:lncRNA from 1 species
GGGGAACAACAGCAAAAUACAAUAGAGAGAGGGGAGUGAAAUUUUUCUUGCAAACAAGAGAGGAGAAGAAUGUGUCCGAUGAGUUUGACGAAGAGGAAGAGCAUUUGGUGACGGGUCUUUCGGGUGUGGGUUUUGAGUGACGACGGGGUGAUUUUUUUGACGUCACAAAGGGGUUUAUCCGAGUGAUUCAUGAGCAGUUUUUGGUGUUCUCACCGGCGCUCAUUAGGGCAGUGUUUCAACAGUGAGUUCCAAAGUCAGAGGCAACGGGUUUAGCUAUGGUUGUUCUUCUCGAUAGUUGACUCUUCUUGGGUUUGCAGUGGGUGUUCGAUACGUGUGUCUCUAGUUAGAGGGGACAGUUUCUGAUGGAUUUUGGGUGUCGAUAUUAGAGACAACAACCGGCAUGUGGGUCUCUCAGUUGCUUGGUGUUUGAUCGACGGUAAAGUCGAGUUCAACGAGAAAAUUAUAGAUUGCUUAUUACUUGUUGAUAUCUGUAGUUUGUAACUUGUGUUUCCUUUUAAUAAAAUCCCUCCAAGAUGGUUCUCAAAAUGGAUGUAGACCGAAUUGGUCGAACCACUAUAUAUCUUUGUAUCGUUUAUUCUUUUAUUGCUUACUUUGUGAUUAUUUGGCUAUUGCGUUUUGGUUAGUUUGGCAUUGUGUUCUCUGGUCUAGUAUAGGAAUUUAUACCAAGUGGUUGAGAGCUUGGUAUAAACAUAACAAGUGGUAUCAGAAUUUGGUGUAUAUUCCCAACAAAUAACAUGCAUGAUAGUAAAAUAUCUUCCUCUUCUUUUUCUUUUUCCUCCUCUCAUUCCUCUUCUUUUUCCUCCUCUUCUUCUUCAUAUUCCUCCUCCUCCUCCGCUUCUUCUGGCGAAUUGAAAAGAAAAACAAAAACUUUAAUGUCUGUUCUCAACUAGUAUUAAAGAUUAAAAAAUAAAGCGAAUCAUUAAUAUUGGUUUUCGACUGACAUUAUGAAUCAAUUUAAAAGCCUUAAAAAAAAAAGAAAAAAGAAAGAAAACAUAUUCUUUUUCACCUCUCCUCUUGUAAUUGCUAACUCCUAUCUAUUGUAAUAAAUGCUGGAGUGGAAAUUUGAACUCAAGACCUCUUGUCCACAAGAACAUACAUGUGCCAGUUGAGCUAUGCUCAUGUUCCACAUCAUCUUUUUCUUCUUCUUUUUUUGUGAAACCUCUUCCUUCCCACAUCAUCUUCCACCUCUCCAUCUCUCUUUGUUUACAAUUUCCAUUCAACUCACAAUUUUGUCAAGGACUUCACCAUCUUCAUCACACAUCAUUUCAUUGGGAUUCACUCGAGGUUUAUUAUAGCCCCAAGGUUUCUUAACUUAUUUACCUGCACCAGUAUGUUUUUAUCCACAUAUCUAACUUGUAUCUUCUACUCGUUCGAAAAAGUUUCACAAUAGUGUUCUUACUUUUUUGAUAGGCUCUGACAUUGCCCAAGCUUUGGUUGGCUUCAAAUCAGUUUACCCAUAUUGUCUAAAGUCAAUAUAUGCAAGUUCGUAUGCUUUGAGAUAGCAAUCAACAAGAUUUAUAGCCUCUUACCUAUGAUUAAGGAUUAUUGCUUUACUUCUUUUGAAUUGGGUUUAAGUGUCACACUCGGCUCUACGUACGCCCCUUGCUUGGUAUGCUAGAUGCAACGUGACUUGAGUAUCUUUGACGCGUUAAAUGCCAAAGACGCUCAGUCAUAGGGUCCUUUAGCUUUUCUUAAUCGCCUAGUGACUUUCCUUCGUCUUAAUUUAUAAAUAUCAAAUAAACCUUUAAUUGAUUCACGUAAAAAAAAAAACCCGUUAUUAUAACCCUUUUUGUUAGAAUAAUGAGGUAAAAACGCAUAUAAAGAUAAUCAAACACAUACCUGUGUUGUAAAUGCAUAAGCACUUAGAAAUGCAACUUACACAAGCAUCAUGUCUGUUUUAUGCGAUUAUCAUGUUUAAAUGCAGGAUAAGUGGACAAGAAGAGAGGAUUAAAUCACAAGGGAUAUCUCAC